UAUCCAUAAAUAAAGCUACGCAGAUUCAAAUAUAACUCCCUCCUCCUUUUGCGUAGAACACAACUCUUGGCGUAGGCAAAAUGAUGGAAACAUAACUGUUGAUGUUGAAUCAAUAUAACUAUUUACUUCAAUAGUAUAUUCAGCAUUUAAUUUUACGCAGUCCAGAAGAUUUAAAUUAAUCAAAUUCAUAAUGAAAUUACAAGCGAUUUUACUCUUGACCCUUUUGAUGGCUACAACUGCAAUGUCAAUGGGAAUAUGCUUUGGUGGAUAUCCAUCAUGUUGCAGGGGAGGAAGGAAUACAUGUGGCCCUUUUUGUGCCUCUUGUUCACGUGUUGGUGAAUUCUUAAGAAACAUGAAUAUGUUUGACAUUAUGACAAUGAUUGGUACUCCUGGUGUUUUCCGCAUUAUUAAUCCGGAUCCAUUUGUCAGACAACCCAAUAUACCCAAUCUUUUCCCCAAACAACCAUUCCCUACCAUACCAUAAAAAUUAUAUUAAAAAAAAUGUGUCAAGUAUGUUAGCGCUUGAAUGAAUCUAAGUUGAAUUUGAAACCAAAAAUCAUACAUACAAAUAGUUCUUGGACUGCCAAAAAAUCAUAUCCUUUUGAUGAGUGUUUGAAAUAGCGACUUGCAUUUUAUAAAUGCAAUGGAUUUACAACUCAAUACUCUUAAUAUUAUGUAUAUAUGCUAAAGAUUUAUAAAAUAAUUUAUUAAAUGUUAUAAAUACAUACAUAUAUUAAAUAAUUAAAUACCUA
rnacentral:lncRNA from 1 species